AUAAAUAGUUAUAGCUCUCAACACGCCCGAUCUCGUCUGAUCUCGGAAGCUAAGCAGGGUCGGGUCUGGUUAGUACUUGGAUGGAAGACCACCUAGGAAUACCAGGGGCUGUAGGCU
rnacentral:rRNA from 1 species